UACGGGGGGAGCAAGCGUUGUUCGGAUUUACUGGGCGUAAAGGGCGCGUAGGCGGCCACCGCAAGUCGACUGUGAAAUCUCCGGGCUUAACCCGGAAAGGUCAGCCGAUACUGCGGGGCUCGAGUGCGGGAAGGGAAAGUGGAAUUCCUGGUGUAGCGGUGAAAUGCGUAGAUAUCAGGAGGAACACCGGUGGUGCAAACGGCUUUCUGGACCGUAACUGACGCUGAGACACGAAAGCGUGGGGAGCAAACAGG
rnacentral:rRNA from 1 species